CCUACGGGAGGCAGCAGUGAGGAAUAUUGGUCAAUGGGCGGGAGCCUGAACCAGCCAAGUAGCGUGCAGGAUGACGGCCCUACGGGUUGUAAACUGCUUUUAUACAGGAAUAACGCGCCUUACGUGUAGGGCUUUGCAUGUACCGUAUGAAUAAGGACCGGCUAAUUCCGUGCCAGCAGCCGCGGUAAUACGGAAGGUCCGGGCGUUAUCCGGAUUUAUUGGGUUUAAAGGGAGCGUAGGCAGCCUGACAAGCGUGCUGUGAAAGUGCCGGGCUCAACCCGGGCCUUGCAGCGCGAACUGGCGUGCUUGAGUCCGCGGAAAGCAGGCGGAAUUCGUCGUGUAGCGGUGAACUGCUUAGAUAUGACGAAGAACCCCGAUUGCGAAGGCAGCUUGCUGCAGCGGAACUGACGCUGAUGCUCGAAAGCGCGGGUAUCGAACAGGAUUAGAUACCCUUGUAGUC
rnacentral:rRNA from 1 species